rnacentral:rRNA from 1 species
AUUGAACGCUGGCGGCAUGCUUUACACAUGCAAGUCGAACGGCAGCGCGGGGCAACCUGGCGGCGAGUGGCGAACGGGUGAGUAAUAUAUCGGAACGUACCCAAGAGUGGGGGAUAACGUAGCGAAAGUUACGCUAAUACCGCAUACGAUCUAUGGAUGAAAGCGGGGGAUCUUCGGACCUCGUGCUUCUGGAGCGGCCGAUAUCUGAUUAGCUAGUUGGUGAGGUAAAGGCUCACCAAGGCGACGAUCAGUAGCUGGUCUGAGAGGACGACCAGCCACACUGGGACUGAGACACGGCCCAGACUCCUACGGGAGGCAGCAGUGGGGAAUUUUGGACAAUGGGCGCAAGCCUGAUCCAGCAAUGCCGCGUGAGUGAAGAAGGCCUUCGGGUUGUAAAGCUCUUUUGUCAGGGAAGAAACGGUUGGGGCUAAUAUCCCCGGCUAAUGACGGUACCUGAAGAAUAAGCACCGGCUAACUACGUGCCAGCCGCCGCAGUAA